rnacentral:rRNA from 1 species
AGCAGCCGCGGUAAUUCCAGCUCCAAUAGCGUAUAUUAAAGUUGUUGCAGUUAAAAAGCUCGUAGUUGAACUUCGGAAUUUGCCCAUUGGUCAGGCUUAACUGUCUGCACUGGUGUGACGAGUUCCUACCUUCUGAGGAAUCUCCAUGUCAUUCAGUUGGUGUGGGGGGAAAUCAGGACUGUUACUUUGAAAAAUUAGAGUGUUUAAAGCAGGCGUCCGUCUGAAUACAUUAGCAUGGAAUAAUAAAAUAGGACGGUUUGGUUCUAUUUUGUUGGUUUCUAGGAUCACCGUAAUGAUUAAUAGGGAUAGUUGGGGGCAUUAGUAUUCAAUUGUCAGAGGUGAAAUUCUUGGAUUUAUUGAAGACUAACUACUGCGAAAGCAUUUGCCAAGGAUGUUUUCAUUAAUCAAGAACGAAAGUUAGGGGAUCGAAGACGAUCAGAUACCGUCGUAGUCUUAACCAUAAACUAUG